rnacentral:rRNA from 1 species
AUUGAACGCUGGCGGCAGGCCUAACACAUGCAAGUCGAGCGGGGUUUUCGGACCUAGCGGCGGACGGGUGAGUAAUGCGAAGGAAGCUACCCGAUAGAGGGGGAUACCAGUUGGAAACGACUGUUAAUACCGCAUAAUGUCUACGGACCAAAGUGUGGGACCUUCGGGCCACAUGCUAUCGGAUGCGCCUACGUGGGAUUAGCUAGUUGGUGAGGUAAUGGCUCACCAAGGCGACGAUCCCUAGCUGGUUUGAGAGGAUGAUCAGCCACACUGGAACUGAGACACGGUCCAGACUCCUACGGGAGGCAGCAGUGGGGAAUAUUGGACAAUGGGUGCAAGCCUGAUCCAGCCAUGCCGCGUGUGUGAAGAAGGCCUUCGGGUUGUAAAGCACUUUCAGUAGGGAGGAAGCGUUGUGUGUUAAUAGUACACAGCGUUGACGUUACCUACAGAAGAAGCACCGGCUAACUCUGUGCCAGCCGCCGCGGUAACAC